UGAAGCUGCUGCUCUAAAGACCUAACUUUAUCAGAAAGUGAGCUGGGACCAAGAGCCUCAAACUUGAGUGCACAGCUGAUCAGGAUCAGGAAACUGGUCAGACAUUGUUAACAGAGCAUGGAAUGGAAUGUGCUUACGACUGAGCCAACCAGUAUGUAAACAGGCCACUGUCCACAUGGCACAAUGUGCUGAGAGCUAAGACGUUUCCCUGACACUUUUCCUUGAUAUGCCUCCCAUUGUGAAAUUUUCAGGACUUGUUCAGGGACAAAGGCGUUGACAGUGCUGAUGAUGAGGAAGCUACAUUACAAAGGAGAUUUCCUUUGCUGCCUUUUACAAACAUCCAUGAGGACAGAUGAUGCAUUUAUGGUGUAAAACAUAUUCUCUGCACAUGUAUGAGGGGACAAAAUAAAGCAUG